AGGGGCUUAGGCUAAUAAAAGACCAAGGGCCUUCAAAGCCCUCAGUAAGAGAGAAAGACUCUUAGCCCCUG
rnacentral:tRNA from 1 species